rnacentral:rRNA from 1 species
UACGUAGGGGGCGAGCGUUGUCCGGAUUUAUUGGGCGUAAAGAGCGCGUAGGCGGCCAGGUAGGUCCGACGUGAAAUCUCGAGGCUCAACCUCGAGCGGUCGUUGGAUACCGCCUGGCUAGAGUCCGGAAGAGGAGAGUGGAAUUCUCGGUGUAGAGGUGAAAUUCGUAGAUAUCGAGAGGAACACCGGCGGCGAAGGCGGCCAACUGGACGAAUACUGACGCUGAGACUCGAAAGCGUGGGGAGCAAACAGG